rnacentral:rRNA from 1 species
UUGGGAAUAUUGGACAAUGGGGGCAACCCUGAUCCAGCCAUGCCGCGUGAGUGAUGAAGGCCUUCGGGUUGUAAAGCUCUUUUGGCGGGGACGAUGAUGACGGUACCCGCAGAAUAAGCCCCGGCUAACUUCGUGCCAGCAGCCGCGGUAAGACGAAGGGGGCAAGCGUUGUUCGGAAUUACUGGGCGUAAAGGGCGCGUAGGCGGUUUGCUUAGUCAGGUGUGAAAGCCCUGGGCUUAACCUGGGAUGUGCGCUUGAUACUGGCAAGCUUGAGUGUGGGAGAGGUUGGUGGAAUUCCCAGUGUAGAGGUGAAAUUCGUAGAUAUUGGGAAGAACACCGGUGGCGAAGGCGGCCAACUGGACCACAACUGACGCUGAGGCGCGAAAGCGUGGGGAG